ensembl:lncRNA LINC01927 long intergenic non-protein coding RNA 1927
AUGGAAACAAACUGAGUUUGUCAAGCCAGAAAGCAACCCUCCAGCAUCCAGAUUACCCUUCGAAGACGGCAAAGAAAAAGAGAGCUCUGAAAUCACUCAACGCAUAGGAGCUGGUUCUAUAAUUUUUAGACUUUAAUUAAAUCAAUUAUUAAAGCCUUUCUUAAUGCCUUGCUGAGAUAUUCAGGCUCGGGCUGCCUCAGGAGAGAGGAAGUGGUUGAAUGCACAGAGGUGGCUAAUAAGGAGGUAGAACACUGGAUGAGCCACAGAAAGCACACAGGACUUUGCUGUGGAAGAGUCAAAGAUCCACGUGGGAGCAUCCCGUAGGGGACUUGCGUUUCAGAUCAGAUGAUGCUUUUCAUGUAUGUCCAGCAGCAAGAGAGUCCUUCACUGGUGAAAAAUCACGGGCCUCAGAGCAGAUUUUAGUUCAUCUUUCAUUUCAAAGCACUCCUUAGAUAUCUGCAAAUUAAAUCCCCUAAUUUGGUGAGGACGCCCAGCUUCCCAAAUAACAAGGCUUUUCCUUUGAUUCUAACCAAGUGAGCCGGCCCUGCAAAAGCCGGGGUGCGUGUUCUGGCUCCAGGCUUCUGAGCAGCCUUUCUCCCCACGCUGCAGCUUUUCAGUUAGGAAGUCAGAGAGAAGGAAAGAGAACUAUUUCCAAUUCAAUCACGAGCAUGUCUACGCACCACUGAAGACAGACCUUUGUCCUGUUGCUUUCCAAACUUUAAAUGUGAAUUUUUCUUCUUAUGAUGACUGGUGUACUCUGUUAUUCUGAAAAAAGAAAAAGCCAUAAGCACCCUGAA